rnacentral:rRNA from 1 species
AAGACCUCAAAUCAGGUGGGACUACCCGAUGAACGUAAGCAUAUCAAGAAGCGGAGGAAAAGAAACUAACAAGGAUUCCCCCAGUAACGGCGAGUGAAGAGGGAAAAGCCCAAAUUUGUAAUCUGGCUCUUUCAGAGUCCGAGUUGUAAUUUUGAGAACUGUUU